GUCACUUUGGUGAGCCUACCUCAGAAUGGAGGUCUAGGGAUUAUAUGGUAGUGUGUGUGUGUGUGUGUGUGUGUGUGUGUGAGAGAGAGAGAGAGAGAGAGAGACAGAGAGAGAGACAGAGAGAGACAGAGAGAGACAGAGAGAGACAGAGAGAGAGAGACAGAGAGAGACAGAGAGAGACAGAGAGAGACAGAGACAGAGACAGGCAGAGAGAGAGAGAGAAACAGAGAGACAGAAUCAGACAGGCAGACAGACAGAGACAGACAAAGACAGACAGUGGCAGACAGGCAAAAACAGAGAGACUGGGGCAGAGAGACACAGAGAUAGAGAGACACAGAGGCCGAGAGAGAAAUAGAAGAAAGUAAGGCAAAGACUUCAGAAGUCACAGGGAAGCGAUAAGUAUUGCCACUGCGAUUCAGGCCCUACUGUGAUUGGUAUCUAUAAUUCCCAUCAUAUGCUGCACAAGCACUGCUUUGCACAGAAUACAGAAUGGUGGUCCAGGGCAUUCUUACAAAUCCAAGGAUGACUGAUGUUGUUCUUCCAGGAGGGAAGCAUGUUGUUAUAGGAUCAUGUAUUCUAACCAUCAAACAGCUAUUGAUCAUUUAGAAAUUGUUAGCGUUCUAUCUGCCCAUGCUUUGAUGGCUUCUUUGCAAUGAACAGUUUGUCCUUCCAGCUAAUGCCAGGGUCAAGAGAUCCUGCCUGACACUAGGGCCUUUGCGGGAGCUGCAGAGAAGCAUUCUGGGUAUACAAACAACCACUCUGACGUCAUGUGAAGACUGACAAUGAGACACUUAACGUAUAGGAGAAAAACGGAAGCCUGAAGUUGGAUAAUUUGUCUGAAGAUGUUGGUGGAUUCCAAGAGAUAAAAAGAUUGAAUGACGAAGCUGAGGAAAGCAGGUUUAAUGGAAGGCUAACAAAGCCGAGGUGAAUGAUAGGAGGCUAGAAACAAGGGAGUGCAUGGCCACGAGUGAUGUCCUCUGAACGCCUCAGCAUUCAGACCAACCGUGUUUAGCUGGUUCUCAGAUACACAAGAUCCUGAACAGGCACGAUGUUUGGUUUCUCCCAUUCCCUUCCUUCUGUAUUAGUCCUCCAGAUACAAAAACUAAAACUAAGACUAACUUCAGUGAUAAAGGGAAUUUUCUGGCUCAAGUCAUCAAGAAGCCUAAGAAGUUAACUGACUUGGGGCUUGGCCAGAUCCAGAUGUUCAAAGUGUAACAGAAAACUGUCCCUCUGGGUUGCAUAAACUCCCAAUUUUAUUUGUUUGACAAGAGGGUUUUGUUUUGUUUUUUGUUUCCAUCUGACAUCAUGGAUGAUCACUGGUUAUCCCCAGGUUGUGACACUCCUAAAGAAAUAGAGAAACAGAGAACUGUCUUUCUUCAGCGACUGUUCUACUUACCAGAUCCUGAAGAAGAUUCUGCUGGGCUGCAUGUCCAUCGUUCUGGUUCCAGGGGAAUGACCUGUCCAGUUGAUCAAUUGGAGACAUGUGCUCAGGCUAUGGAGUAUAGCCUGAAGCCAUUUUUCAACUGGAAGACUGACAAACAGCUCUCUUACUAGAACAGUUUUCUAAACUCUUCAACUCAAUUGUUUUCACAUCUACGGAGUCUGGUAUAGAUUCUGUUUGGGAAAGGAGUUUGGCAUCAUCAUGGACAUCAUGGACAGGUUGGCGAUCAUCCUUUCAGAACUCUCUGCCCUCCAUGGUAGUUGAUGGUGAUCCACCUAGAUGUUGCAAUCUGGAUUUAAAUGAGUAAGGGUGGAAUCUCAAACUGACAAGGAAGUUCUCAUCCAGAUGUCUAGCUUUCAUGGUGCUGGAAGAUGCUAUGCAGCCUGCUGAGGGAGGAAACCCAUCAGUGAUCUUAGCCUUACCAACCUGCCAGGAAAGAUGUGCCUACUGGAGUAUUAGUGGGAUAAAGGCUAUCAGGGUAACCACAGGCUUGCUGAUUGGAUUUGAGAUCUGCUCCAAAGGGAAGGAUUUAGUAUGGGUACUGUAAAGCCAUGACAAAAACAAAAACAAAACAAAAUGAAACAGCAAACAACAACAAAAACAUGACUCAGAGACUCAUAGGUACCAGAUAGAAACUUCCUGGUGUUUCACUAAUGGUCAUGUUGACAAACUAUAUUCUCCAUAUUUAUAUUUAUACUCAAAGAUUUGUCUGAUCUCAAACUUGGUCAGAGGGUAAUGGUUCAUGCAGAUAAGUCAUACCUGGUCAAACCCUAAGAGCAAGUGACCGUGAGUGCUCAGCCACAGAUGCAUCUUCUGUAUUAAUCACACGACUUACACAAAAUCAAGUCAAUCAAAAUCCCAGUAUGUAUGGAGAAGGAGGUCCCAAGGUCUCACUGUUAUGGGAAGAGUUCUUGGUGGUUUAUAGCUGUGGGGGAGGGAGAAUCAUUGUUCUUUGGGAGUGUGGCUGCUAGCAGGUUCUAUGCCCAUGCACAAGUGGUCUAAAUAAACUAGCUGGACUCUA
rnacentral:lncRNA from 1 species